UUUUUUUUUUUUUUGAGAGAGAGAAAGGUAGCAUGCUAUCCGCUUCGUUUAUUUCAUUUGAAAAUAAACAUAGCUGGAAAUGUGAAUCAACUAGGAUUCGAACUUGGGUCUCAGGUACUAACCACCAAGCCUUUUGCCACUUGCGCUAGGGACGGUCGGUAAUGAGAUUAGGGUUAUACAUAUGAGAGAGAGAGAGAGAGAGAGAAU
rnacentral:lncRNA from 1 species